UACGUAGGGAGCAAGCGUUGUCCGGAAUCAUUGGGCGUAAAGCGCGCGUAGGUGGCCCCAUAAGUCCGCUGUGAAAGUCAAAGGCUCAACCUUUGAAAGCCGGUGGAUACUGUGGGACUAGAGUACGGAAGAGGCGAGUGGAAUUCCUGGUGUAGCGGUGGAAUGCGCAGAUAUCAGGAGGAACACCAAUAGCGAUGGCAGCUCGCUGGGACGUUACUGACACUGAGGCGCGAAAGCGUGGGGAGCGAACAGG
rnacentral:rRNA from 1 species